AAUGGAGGCAACUCUGACGCAGCCAUGCCGCGUGCAGGAAGAAGGCGCUACGCGUUGUAAACUGCUUUUAUCCGGGAAGAAACCCCAGGACGUGUCCUGGGUUGACGGUACCGGAGGAAUAAGCACCGGCUAACUUCGUGCCAGCAGCCGCGGUAAUACGAAGGGUGCAAGCGUUAUCCGGAUUCAUUGGGUUUAAAGGGUGCGUAGGUGGGGCGAUAAGUCAGCGGUGAAAUCCUGCAGCUCAACUGCAGAAUUGCCGUUGAUACUGUCGCUCUUGAGUACGCUUGACGUGGGCGGAAUGUGCCGUGUAGCGGUGAAAUGCUUAGAUAUGGCACAGAACACCGAUAGUGAAGACAGCUCACGAAGGCGAAACUGACACUGAGGCACGAAAGCGUGGGGAUCGAA
rnacentral:rRNA from 1 species